rfam:Parcubacteria bacterium GW2011_GWB1_41_6 TT71_C0034, whole genome shotgun sequence.
GCCGAGGUAGCUCAGUCGGCAGAGCACGCCCUUGGUAAGGGCGAGGUCAGGAGUUCGAUCCUCCUCCUCGGCU